UCAAAAACUUUAGCGCCAUGUACCCGGCCGCUUUUCAUCCCUCUGUAUUUUUGGAGGAACGUUUUGGCCCGGGUUGACGAGGUGUCAGGUGAUCGAAGAUUCGGCGGAUGCCUGAUCGCGGAUGCGGCCGCGCAUACAGUUGACAAAAGAUCCGGUAACGGAGAGACAAAGAGACUGUAACCGUAUGGA
rnacentral:ncRNA from 2 species